rnacentral:rRNA from 1 species
GGGGGGUGCGAGCGUUAUUCGGAAUCAUUGGGCGUAAAGGGCGCGUAGGCGGUCUCUUAAGUCAGGUGUGAAAGCCUUCCGCUUAACGGAAGAAGUGCACUUGAAACUAAGGGACUUGAGUAUGGGAGAGGGAAGUGGAAUUCCUGGUGUAGCGGUGAAAUGCGUAGAUGUCAGGAGGAACACCGGUGGCGAAGGCGACUUCCUGGACCAAUACUGACGCUGAGGCGCGAAGGCGUGGGGAGCAAACAGGAUUAGAUACCCUGGUAGUCCACGCAGUAAACGGUGAACACUAGGUGUAGUGGGUAUUGACCCCCCUGCUGUGCCGCAGUUAACGCAUUAAGUGUUCCGCCUGGGGAGUACGGCCGCAAGGUUA